AAACGUGCACAGGAUUGUGCUGUAAAUAAGUCUCUCCUCCACAUGUAGUUGCUGGGUGACCUUGGGCUAGUCACACUUCUUUGAAGUCUCUCAGCCCCACUCACAGAGCGUUUGUUGUGGGGGAGGAUGGGAAAGGAGAAUGUUAGCCACUUUGAGACUCCUUAGGGUAGUGAUAAAGCAGGAUAUCAAAUCCAAACUACUACUACUACUACUACUACUCCUCUUCUUCUUCUUCUUCUUCUUCUUCUUCUUCUUCUUCUUCUUCUUCUUCUUCUUCUUCUUCUUCUUCUCUCACUAUAAGCUGGUCCCUUUUUAAAACACCAUCUUGAGAAAUUGCUUUGGAUGCUUUUACUAUAUAAAGAUAUGUUCAGUUCGUGUUGGGUGACUGACAUUUUGGUAAGCCAAAUAAUUUGUUCUAGUUUAGGGUGGAGGGGAGGGAGAGAACACCAGAAUACCGCUAGGCAUGGGAAAAAUAUCUGGAAUGGGCAUCUUGGGGAGGCUUUAGGAAAAAUGAAACAGUAACAGUCUGGCAAAACAUAAAGAAGUAAAAAUAUCUACAAAUGUGCCCAGUUGCAAAUUGCUGGGAUUGAAGUGUCCUUUCCACUUUGCAGAACAGUUAGUGAAAUUGUAUGGAGUCAAGCCUUGUCAGAUGAACUGUAACUCAGUAUCAUAUUUUGUGGUCUGAAAUGCACUGCUGUAGUGUGGCAGAAUAUCACUUGUGUUUUAUCAGUGGUAACAUAUACUAUAGCUUUCAAUGUCACCACUAAUUUAGUCAAACUAGGCAUUGAGAUAUUUGUCUUUAAUCUACUAAUAAUAUAGUAGGAGUUUGCCAUGAGUGAGAUGUCUUCAUAUGGUUCUGAAAUAAGAAGCAUAGUGUGCGUGUGUUGUGCAACAUGAAAGGCUGAAUUGUCAUCUGUAUGUUGAACUGGGGCAAUGGAAAACUAAAAACCUAUAGUAGUUCUACUCUGUUGAAAUAAUUCAGAUAAACGUAUCUAUUAAUUGGAUGCUAUGUGUUGCCUCCGGUGCUGCUACUAGCAGAGAGUGUGACUCAUAUGAAUUAAAAACAAUUGGAUAAAUAUAUGCUUGCAGGUUCCACUUAGACCAAUUGACGAUAUACAUUUCUUACCCAUUAACUAAGUGUCCAAAUUCUUUGCCAAAUUAGUUCUAAUAUUUUAGAAAGUCAAAGUGUGUAUUUAUCAUAGUUGGUAGCCUGAUUAAUCCUGCAGGAAAAAUACUUAAGCCUAUCAAACAGGGAUCAAACCCCAGCUCAUUAUGAACUCCAAAUGACCUUGAGCAAAUUGCUAUCUUUUUGUGCUUGCAAAAAGGUGGCAAAUCCCCAUUCAGGUGUGUAGCUCUGUCAAUCUGAUGAGAUGUUCCCCCAUUCUGCCCAGCAGUUUCCCCUUGGGCUGAAUGCAACCCUGGGCUUGAAAAGGGGUUCCCCAUCUCUACAAAGAGCAUGCUGAAGGGCCCACAGCACAGGUUGAGAAACCGUUUUUGUGCUGACGUGAUUUAAGGGUUUGGUGUAUCGGAGAGUCAAGAAAAACCUGAAAGACACAAAACAAAAACCACCCCAUAAUAAAUGCAAGCUCAGAAUUACUUUAAAGGGCUCUGCACGCACGCACGCACACACGCACACACACACCCCUAGUAACUUGUGAAGUUGUAUGUCUGCUGACCUGAUACCAUUAUUAAUGUAAGUGUAUGGAAUGUCAUGAAAUUUAUUCUUAAACGUGACAGGAAGGAAUAUUUAUUUAUUUAUUUACAUAAAUUUUUAUUUAAAUAAAUGGUUAGUUGUAAAAAAAACAAACUCAGAGUGGUUUAUAAAAAUUUGAAAAAAGAAAACCAAGGGGAAAUUCACAAUUAAGCUUUAGAAACAUACUUUGGGGGGGGGGGGGGAGAGAAAUGAAUGAUUCUGAGAAACUUUGACCUAAAAGAAAAACUCUUUAACAGAAAGUGGAAAAGAUGGAUAUUAUUUUCAUGGACUGAAUAUCUUAAAUAAUCUCCCCUACCUCACCCCCCCCUUUUUUUAAUGUAGCCAGCAGAUGGAAAAUGGGAAGUCCUUUUUAUUUUUCUCUAAUGUUUCUUUUCCUUUUGUCUUUCAUUUUCUGUUGCUUCUCCCUUUCUUUUAAUCUCUUUCUCUCUCCCCUUUCUCCUUGUUUCUUUUGUCACUUCUUCUUCUUCUUCUUCUUCUUCUUCUUCUUCUUCUUCUUCUUCUUCUUCUUCUUCUUUUGGAAUCCUAUGAAACAGAUUAAAACUACCCCCCCCCCAUUUACAGUUACAUUUCUUCCCUCAGAAUUUGCUUCCCCAAGUUGCUGUAAGGAUCAGCAAGUACAGCAGACAGAAUAAACUGCUUCCGGGUAUUCUCUCCAUAUGAUAUCCAACCACAGUCUAGAACUUGCUGUGGCGAUGAGAAGAGUGUGUGUGUAAUUAAAUAGGGAAAUGAUUGUGCAUAUAAACCUCAGCAGUUUUAUUAUUGCUUGUCUUGCCAGCUGGCUGCUUUUGCCCUUUCUUGCUCAGUAGUUUGACUCAUCUAUUUGUGUGUGUGUGUGUGUGUGUGUGUGUGUGUGUGUUAUACAGGUUUUUGGUUUUUUUUGUUAUAGGGGGAGGGGAAGGGCCAUAGCUCAGUGACAGAGCAUCUGCUUUGCAUGCAAAAGGUUCCAGUCUCAUGCAUCUCUAGGUAAAGGCUAGGUAUGUACCCUUUCCUGAAAUCCUGGAGAGUUGCUGCCAACCCGUGUAGGCAGUACUGACCAGGAUGGACCAACAGUCCGACUCAGUAUAAGGCAGCUUCCCAUGCUCCUAAAGCAGACAAAAGUGGAACUUCAAAAACAAAAUCUUAGCUGGUCUCUCUUAAAACAUGUUUAGAAACAUACCGUACUCAAACGUAGAGUUCUUGCACUGUUCAACUUGUCUUUCCUUAUAACUUAUAAAAGCUAUCAGUCAGGGAUGGAGCACCUUCCAGUGUUGUUGGACUCCGCCUUCCUUAGUUCCAGCCAGCACAGCCAACAGUCAGGGUUGAUUUAUUUUAAUUUCGUUAUUACAUUUAUACACCACCCUUCAUCAUAAGAUAUCAAGGCGGUUCAUAGAAUAAUGAUGAGAGCUGUAGCGCUGGGAAAUCUUCAGGUGCUUAUUCCUGCUAUGAGUUUUUAUGGAUCUAAUAAAUGGGCUUUAAGAAACAAAGGUUGCCUCCAAGGCUGUCAGUAUUUUGUGGGAGGGAUUCGAGUGCAUAACAGAACUUUAGGUUUACACAGUUAAAGUGUUCUGUUGCUUUGGCCCAAAAAACCACUUAAAAAACAGCAACCUCAGAAUUUUGUGGUUAGGAAGUGAGAGAGAAAUGAUAAGCGGAAAGACAUGUAAGCACAAUGCAAGAGAAUUAGGAUGAAUUUAGGACAAAUGUUGACUGUCCUAUAACCUCCCCAUGAAGAAAUCAGAAUGAAUGCUCAUUUAAGAUGGGAUAUAGUCUAGCAUCUGCGUAAGCUUUGUGCAAGCAAAUCUGGAUGAGUAUUGGAGAUACAGGUUGUCUGAAUUGGCCCUUAAGUUUUCUGUCUGUAAAAAUAUAGUUGGAUAUCUCAUCAAUGAAGGGAUUUAUUUAUUUUUUAGUUAAUAGAGAGGUUUAAUCUUACAGCAACAUUGUUUUAGUCAUUUUGGGUGGUAGUCCUGUAUUUUCAGAGAUCUGUAAUGCAGUUUGAGAACCUUUAUUGAUUUUUUUCAUUAAUUCAUAAAUAAAUAAAUAGUGUACAUACAUAAAAACUUUUGUAAAGAAUCCAAAUCACUUUAUUUCAGCUUUAAGCUCAUAGACAUAAUAAAACAAGAACAGAAAUGCGCACGAUUUGAUUUUCAAUUAAAAGGUAAAAUAGCCCAAAGGAUAUACAGAAUUAGAUAAGGAUAUAAUAAAAGAAUUUCAAGUUGUAUGUAACAAUCCAUUCCGUCGCGUAUAUGUCAAAACAGAAGUUAAAUUUGUUGCCAUUUGUAGAGUUACAAAUGGAUUUGUGUCUUUUGUAAAGAAGCAGAUUAGAAAAGUUUAUAAAUGGGGCCAGGCCAUCUAAAUAGGCAUGUGACAUUGAGAUAGCAGUAGUGAUUACUGCAAAACCAGGAAAAGGGAUAACAGGUUGAAAAGGGUGUGCAAUUAUUUUCUCAAAGCCUUUCCUAAAACUGCUUUUGGAGAGAGUUUUAAAAAGGGGGACAGUGGAGUUCAAAGAAAGUAAAAUACUUUUCAGACCUAACGGCUUAAAUUGGAGAGUUAUAAAUAUGUGCUUAAUCUGUCCCUUUGAGACCAAUGGCGCUUGAAAGUGUUUUGGCUUUGGCUGAUCAUGCCUCAAGCUUUCUUCCCUGAACACUAAGGCCCAUUCUAGAUUCUUGGAUGGAAAAAAACAUACAUUUAAUCACUGUGGGUUCUGUGCUGGCCCCAAUGCAGUGCCACCAUUUAAAUAUCUUAUUGCCAUAAUGAUUUAGGGGAAAGCUUGUUUGGAGGGGGGAGUAAGCCUUGCUAUGGGGCAUGAAACAAAGUAUGAGUAGGUGGUAUGAGAACUCCAACCCUGCCUUUGCAGAGGAGAAAUACGCACAGCCAGGUAGGGAAAUUUCAAAACAACCCCCCAAACAGCUCUUAAGUUCAGGUCCGCAGAAUGCCAUAGUAAUGUAUGAGAGAGUGGUAGUGUCUCUGCUUUUCAUACUUCUCAAAGCCUAGAUUAAAACCUAGUUUUGAAUUAGCCUUUGCAAUAUCUCAGAAAAUGCCUCCACACCCAAGGACCACAUAGCAAUUAUUAUAGCAAUGGACACUCUAGUUUAAUGAAUCACUGAAUCUCCCAGAUGUAGGCUAUUGUGCAUCCAGAGCUGGAAGUGCAACCAGAAGCACAAUUGUGAGUAGAGGAUAUCUGGACUCUGGUAGCAGUUCAGUAUUUUCUGUGUGAAUUUAUAUGUGAGCUGCCUUAUCAGCUCUGGGAGCAAAAGGUGAGGAAGCAAAUAAAUAAAAUGUUGAUUUUACAAAUAAACAAGUCUCUAGAUCACAAGAAUAAUGAAUACCACUCUGUUCUGCUUUGGUCAGUCCUCACCUGCAGAACUGCAUCCAGUUCUGGGUGUCAGAGUUUAUAAAGGAUAUUGACAAACUGGGACAUGUCCAAAGGAAUGAUGAUGAAGGGCCUGGAUACCUAAUCUUAUGAAGGAAAGUUGGAAGCAAGUGUGUAUUUAUACUGGAGAAGAGAUUGUUAAGGGGCAAUGUGCUAGCAAUUCUCAAAUAUGUGAAGUGCUAUUACAUAGAUGAUGGGACAAAGCUGUUUUCUGAUGCUGCAGAGGGUGGGAUCUGAACCAACAUGUUCAAAUUACAAAGAGGGUGAUUUUGACUAAACGUUGGGACGAACUUUCUGGUGUCACACUUUGUGCCAUAAUGGAACAGACUGCCCUCUUUGGAUAGUGUUAAACUCUCUGUCAUUAGGGGUUUAUAAGCAACAGUUGGAUUGUCACCUAUCAGGGACACUGUAGCAGUAAGUUUUCUGCAUCAGCAGGGGACUGAGCGUGAUGAUUUUUGAGGUCCGUUUCUAUCUGUAUGAGUCCAUGAAUCAAUUUCAGUAUGUGUGUGUGCACAUGCAUGAAGAGGAGAAGACUUGGUUUUGAGAUAUUAUCAGAUAAUGAAAAACAAGAUUUGGAUAAAGCGUAUCUAUGCGGGAGAGUACAGUCAGAAAUAUUCCAUAGAUUACAGGUCUCUGUGUGAUGAAUGGGAAUGAUUGAGAGAGAAAGAGAGGUUUUAAGCAUGCCUGGAAAGGAGAGGCCUCUUGAAGCAGUAUAGCUUCAAAGAAAAUGAGUGCCUUGUGGUGGUCCACUAUUCAGAGAUGAAAUUACAGGCAAAUAGGCUGGAAGCAUGGAACUUUGACAGAUAUUGCAGGCGUAGGGAGAGCUUAACUGGAAUGCUUAAUAAUAGAUAUUUAAUAGGUUCAGCGGUAUCUAUUUUCCCUCUGUGGCUACUAGCUGCUGGCGUGUUCUGAUGUCAUACCCGCUGCUACUACUGCUUACACCCCCACCAGCUAAAUGCUGAGUACUGCCUGCAUUUAUCCACCCUUCAAGUACAGUAUUCUAUCAGACCUCAUAGAGUGGUCUUGUUCAUAACUUGCUUACUGCCAUGUAAUAAAGACUUUGCUGGUGGCGGCUUCUCACAGUAUAAAUUUCACUCCUAGGGCUGUUCCUGCUAGGAAUUCCAUGAUAAAUUACUAAGUUAAAUUUCUGAUAUAGAUAUUGCUGUCCUGCUUGUGCAAACAUUUACCCUUCACCUUCUUUGCAUCUGAUUCGCUCUGAUUUGCUUUCUACUACAUGCACAGAGAGGGGAACACUGGCUGAUGUGCAAACUGUUGGCAAAUUGCACAGGGAAAUAGAAGGAGAGAGAAAGUGAAAAUGUAUCAGAAUGUACAUCCGAUGUCUGUCAGUACUGCAUUAUUCUCACUGAUGUGCCUUUGUUUCAAAUGGCGCUCCUAAUGCAUAACUAUGCAUGGCCAAAGCUGGAUUAGGGUGUACAUUGGCAGAGCCUAAAGUGCUAUCUAAACCAAAGAAUGUUGAACACUUUCCAGAUUCAACUUGGCUCCACUUACCUUCUCAAAUUGUGCAUGUGUUUGGGCAUCAAGGCAGGGCAGCAAAAGUGAAUGAAAACUAUAGUGUGACAAGCAAUAUCAUGCAUACAUUUGAGCAUGUCAAAUGUCAACACAUACUAGUCUGCCACUGUCUCAGAAUGUGACUUAAAGGCACAGGAGGUCACCAUCUGCUGAAGCUAAGGAGGUCUGGAUCUGGUCAAUACCUGGAUGAGUAACCACCUGGGAACCACAUGUGUAUUUCCUUGGGUUCCAUGACAGAAAAGGGCAGGAUACAAAUAUAAGAAAACUGCUGGGGUUUGCCCUGCCAACACUGCCAGCAUCAUCAUCACCUUUACUUGUGGGGACAUUCACUGGAACUGAAGGCUUGGGUGAUAAACGGUGCCAGGCACUGUACAGUAGCCUUCUGAGAAUGCACCAAGAUUUCAUCAAGAGGCUACACCCAACUUAAGAGAGAGAGAGUGCUGUGUGGCUGUCUCCCACAUCAGCUCAGCAAGCUGGAGAUCUACACACCACAGUCUCCCUUUCCAGUUGCCCCACAGGUUGGGAGUAAAUGUAGCUGAUCGUAAACCCCAGCAUGGAGAGAUGCAGCAGGUAGAAAGCUUAGGAGACAUUGAGAGUUGGAUACAUGGGCAUGAUGAUGCAGAAGAGGUCCUGGGAGAAAGGCAGGAAGACAGAACAAAAUAGAAGGGAAAGAGAGGUAGAUUUCUGAGAAAUUACAGAGAGAGGUCAGAGCCUCAGGGGUAGAGGUAGGACCCCACCCCUUACCAUUACAUGCACAUACAGGAUCUUUGAAGUUGAAGAUGGACCUGUCUUAACUGAGGAUUCAACAGGCAGCUCUUCCCUCCAUGGAGGGACAUUUCCUUCAUAUUAUGUGGAUGUGAAGCAACAUAACCAGCAAUAAAUAAUACUGCUUUGUUUGAUUCCUUUGUUCAUUAUAUCAUGAAACCAAUGGACCAAGGGGUGUUUGGUAUAUCCCUCCCUGAUAUACCCCUCAAUAAAAACAAACAGCACAUCAGCUUGAGUUUUACAAAAGCAACACUGAGAGACUAAAGAAAAGGAAGUUGAAAGGCAGCGCUGCCACUCCCUGGACUGGUUGCAAGUAAGAAGGCAGGCAAGGCAAGGGAUGGCUGAGGGCAAAUGUAUGGACCAAUGGAGGCCAUGCUCUCUCUCCCUGGUUGGGGGUGGCCAGUUGCUGCAAACCGCAGGAAGGGAGUGUGAUCUGGUCCUACCGGUACUUGUGGGCUUCUCACGGGCUUCUGCUUGGCCACUGCAAGAACAGAAAACUGGACUAGAUAGGCCAUCUGUCUGACCCAGCAGGGUGUUCUUACAUUCUUGUGGUUGAUGGGGCAAUCCUCCAUAAUGGGCCAGCCUGCACUGGGGGCGGGGGGUAUAAGUAAGCUUUUGCAUUCUCUGUAUAUGGUUCGGAUAGGCACUAAGCUUGAAAGCUUUUCCUUAGGGAGAGGAGAAAGAAUAUCUUAAUAUAAAGGACACCCCUCUGGGUUGUUCUCUAGCCACUCUACUUAUACUUCCUUGCAGCUGUUCUGAGCUGCUUUCUCUGUGACCUUCAGUGUGUUUAUAUGAAGCCUUCCCAGGUUACAAUUUUAGUCAUUUUAAUGACUUGUAAUAGUAAUCCUCUGGCUAAGAAUUAAUUGUAACUUGGAGAGCAGCCUUCAGUAUAAAAGCUAGGUAUAUUUACCUUUGUCAAGUACUGGAAGAUCUAGGAGAAUGUUAAAGAAUUGGAGCUCAUGCUUUUAUCUAUGCCUGCAUGUUUACAAAGCACAGGAUAAAGGAAGGUAUAAUUAUUCACAUGAAGCCUUGGCUGUGGCCCAAUGUGUUUCUUUUUAAAAAGAAAUGAAAAAAGCUUUCAAAUCGAUGUUAUAGUGCUCUGUAUACCAUUGUUGUGAUGAUAUGUGCCAAAAGAGCAUCCUAUUGCUCUAGCUUGUUACAUCAAUAUCAGAAUGUGUUCCCUUGCCUGCAUGCACACACAUACCCUCGGAGAAGCUCUAAAAUACAAAAACAAAUCCCAGCCCAAUAGCUGCUUUCAAAGUAUGACAACAGAAUAACACCAGAAAAGUGUCAAGUUAAUCAUCUCUAGCCAAAGGACUGAAUCAAAAUAAUACCUAUUGUACAAUCUUUCUUUUGAUUUUUCAACAUGACCUGAAAGGGGCAACUCCAUGAAUGUUCACUGUUCAGCUUUAUUUUCAUCAGCUUAGCAUUCAAAAGGUUUUGGCUGUGAUUUUUUUAAUGUUAGUGAUACUAUAGUAAAAGGAGUUGUUGUUCUCUAAUGAAAAUGGGAAGCAGGCUUCCAGUACAGUAGAGGUUUUUCAAAGGCUAAAGUAUGAUCUUAAUAGGGUCAGAACUCUUCUUUCCCUUGGCUCAACUGCAUCCAUGUUGUUGGACUCCAGCUAUCAGCUGGGAAAAAUGCCUUCAGCUUUGCUUUUUUUCCUUUAAGCAUAGCACAUUUGAGACUAAGGGAUGCUAACUUUUUCUUAUAGCUCAAGUUCAUAUAUUUAUUUUUAACUUUCAUGCUGAUUCAUUAACACCUUGUUAAGUUUGGCACAUUUACUUUUAGGAACGUUGUACAUCUAAGGACUAUAUUAUUUUUGUGAAAUUGUGACUGCAUUAAUUCAGCCUGGUAAGAUUAAGCUGGAGACGUCUUUGCUGCAAUUGCCAAAAACAAACUUACAACCGUGUUUAACCCCCUUUUAAAAAAAUAUUUUGGCAAAUGCAACAAACCAAACUGGAUAAUAACUUUUAUUAGGACCAACCCAAAAGUCACAAAAAUGAUAAGCUUAUAAAUUCUGUAGAACUCCUUUUCAGGCAAAACAUUGCAUGAAGCAAGGGGUGAGGAAAGAUUUUUUUAAAAGUUGAACCAUUAGACUAGAUGUUGUAGCUAUGAUGCCAGCUUGCAGACCCAGUUCAAGAUCUAAACUGGGAACUGAGUGGAUCCAGUUUCCAUACAUAUGUUUUACUAAUGUAAUAAAAUUGCAAUACAUCAAAUAUAAGGAUUGCCAACUGGCCAAGAGAUGGCCAUGUGUGGUUUGGCACGGUGCUGUUUCGAUUGCAUUUUUUAGACACCUCAAAAUAAAUUCUCUUUGCAUCAUACAAAUA